rnacentral:rRNA from 1 species
AAUACUGCUCGACUAGAAUUUUCUCAAGGGAGAUCGGAACUGAGGGAGGAGUAGUGAAAUGCGUUGAUACCCUCGGGAACACCAGUGGCGUGGGCGGAUCUCUGGGAGAAGAUUGACACUGAGACACGAAAGCUAGGGGAGCGAAGCAGAUUAGAGACCUGCGUAGUCCUAGCCGUAAACGCAUGCUUGCUAGCUGCAUGAAUCUACCUUCGGGUGGUAUCGUGUGGCGAAGGUAACCCGUUAAGCAAGCCGCCUGGAAAGUACGGCCGCAAGGCUGAAAUUCAAAGGAAUUGGCGGGGAGGCACACAACCAGUGGAACAUGUGGUUUAAUUCGAGACUAACCGAAGAACCUCACCAGGGUUUGACAUGUAGCUGCGCGUCUUAAGAAAUUAAGACUCUCUUGAAGGUGCUACACAGGUGCUGCAUGGCUGUCGUCAGCUCGUUCCGUGAGGAGUGCCCUUAAGUGGGACAACGAGCGCAACCCCUAUUACAUGUUAGAAAUGUCAUGUAAGACUGCCUUGCCAUUUGGCGGGGAGGAAGGAGGGGCAGACGUCAAGUCCGCAUGGUCCUUAUGCCCUGGGCUACACACAUGUUACAAUGAGUACGGCAAUGAGUCUGUCGCGAGCACGUAAGUGUAAGCUAAUCUCUUAAAUGUACUCUCAGUGGGGAUUGAGGUCUGCAACUCGACCUCAUGAACACGGAAUUGGUAGUAAUCGCGGGUCAGCUAUACCGCGGUGAUACGUUCUUGCCUCUUGCACACACCGCCCGUCAAACCGGCAAAGU